ensembl:rRNA 5S_rRNA 5S ribosomal RNA
GUCUAUGCUCAUACCACCCUGAACGUGCCCGAUCUCAUCUGGUCUCGGAAGCUAAGCAGGGUCGGGCCUGGCUAGUACUUAGAUGGAGAUGGGAAAGAAUGUUGAUUAUGUUUU